rnacentral:rRNA from 1 species
GAUGAACGCUGGCGGCGUGCCUAAUACAUGCAAGUCGAGCGAACGGACGAGAAGCUUGCUUUUCUGAUGUUAGCGGCGGACGGGUGAGUAACACGUGGAUAACCUACCUAUAGGACUGGGAUAACUUCGGGAAACCGGAGCUAAUACCGGAUAAUAUUUUGAACCGCAUGGUUCAAAAGUGAAAGACGGUCUUGCUGUCACUUAUAGAUGGAUCCGCGCUGCAUUAGCUAGUUGGUAAGGUAACGGCUUACCAAGGCAACGAUGCAUAGCCGACCUGAGAGGGUGAUCGGCCACACUGGAACUGAGACACGGUCCAGACUCCUACGGGAGGCAGCAGUAGGGAAUCUUCCGCAAUGGGCGAAAGCCUGACGGAGCAACGCCGCGUGAGUGAUGAAGGUCUUCGGAUCGUAAAACUCUGUUAUUAGGGAAGAACAUAUGUGUAAGUAACUGUGCACAUCUUGACGGUACCUAAUCAGAAAGCCACGGCUAACUACGUGCCAGCAGCCGCGGUAAUACGUAGGUGGCAAGCGUUAUCCGGAAUUAUUGGGCGUAAAGCGCGCGUAGGCGGUUUUUUAAGUCUGAUGUGAAAGCCCACGGCUCACCCGUGGAGGGUCAUUGGAAACUGGAAAACUUGAGUGCAGAAGAGGAAAGUGGAAUUCCAUGUGUAGCGGUGAAAUGCGCAGAGAUGUGGAGGAACACCAGUGGCGAAGGCGACUUUCUGGUCUGUAACUGACGCUGAUGUGCGAAAGCGUGGGGAUCAAACAGGAUUAGAUACCCUGGUAGUCCACGCCGUAAACGAUGAGUGCUAAGUGUUAGGGGGUUUCCGCCCCUUAGUGCUGCAGCUAACGCAUUAAGCACUCCGCCUGGGGAGUACGACCGCAAGGUUGAAACUCAAAGGAAUUGACGGGGGCCCGCACAAGCGGUGGAGCAUGUGGUUUAAUUCGAAGCAACGCGAAGAACCUUACCAAAUCUUGACAUCCUUUGACAACUCUAGAGAUAGAGCCUUCCCCUUCGGGGGACAAAGUGACAGGUGGUGCAUGGUUGUCGUCAGCUCGUGUCGUGAGAUGUUGGGUUAAGUCCCGCAACGAGCGCAACCCUUAAGCUUAGUUGCCAUCAUUAAGUUGGGCACUCUAAGUUGACUGCCGGUGACAAACCGGAGGAAGGUGGGGAUGACGUCAAAUCAUCAUGCCCCUUAUGAUUUGGGCUACACACGUGCUACAAUGGACAAUACAAAGGGCAGCGAAACCGCGAGGUCAAGCAAAUCCCAUAAAGUUGUUCUCAGUUCGGAUUGUAGUCUGCAACUCGACUACAUGAAGCUGGAAUCGCUAGUAAUCGUAGAUCAGCAUGCUACGGUGAAUACGUUCCCGGGUCU